AAGUAUUGCUUUGUUAAUUUAUAUUAAGUAUCUCUUUCUUUUCAGGGACUGUAAACAUUUUUGCACAUUUAACUUCAAUGUCCACAUGUUCACUGCUAGUCUCUCAAAAUAUGGUUGAUUUUUAUGUGUUUAUCUUGUAUCCCAUGACCUUGUUGAACUAACUUGUGUUCUGGGAGGAGUGAGAUUUUUGGGUUUUGUUUUAUAUUUUGGAGGGAUUUUCUAUGUGGAUGAUCAUGUCAUUGGGAAAUAAGGACAGUUAUAUUUUUUCUGAUGUGCAUGUGUGUGUGCAAAUUUUUAACAGGGUCUUUCUGUGUUGUCCACGUUCCCCAGCCUGGUGUUGACCCCACAACCUCCUGCCUCUGUCUCCUGAGUGGGUGGGUCUACAGCUGUGUGCCACCACAUCUAGUACAUGUAUGCCCUUUAUUUCCUUUUCCUGCCUUCUUGUACUGGCUAGAGCUUCUAGUAGUAUGUUGAAUAAAAGUGGUAAGAGUAGAAUUAAAGUAUUUGCCUUGUUUUUGAUCUUUGGAAGCAAAUAUUCAGUCUUUUAGUGUUUUGGAGGUUUUUGUUCUGCAGAUAUUCUUUAUCAAUUUAAAGAAUUUCCCUUCACUUUUCUGAGAAAUUUUUUUCAUGAACAGGUGUUACAUUUUGUCAAAUGCUUGUUCUGCAUCAACUGAUAUGACCACAGAUUUUUUUUUUUUUUCUUGCUUAGCCUGUUAAAGCGAUGGGUUAGAUCUGUGGGUUUUGAAUAAGAAUAGAUCUGCUUCCCAGGAUAAAUCCUGCUUGAUCACAAUGGUUCACUCUUUUUAUGUGUUUCUGGAUUCUAUUUUCCAGUAGUCUGUUAAGGGUUUUUGCAUCUACAUUAAUAAGGGAUAUUAAUCUGUAGUUUUCCCCUUUGUAUCCAUUUUUCUGUUUUUAGUAAUAGAGUAAUAUAAGCUUCCUAAAAUUGAGACACACACUCUCUCCUUGUUUCCUGCAAGAGAUUGUGUAGAAUUGGUGUUUAUCUUUUUUCCUCCAAGUACUGGGGAUUAUACCCAUGGCUUUCACACUGAGCUACAUCCCCAGCCCUUUUUUAAAUUUCCUAUUUUGAGAUAAGGUCUCACCACGUUGUCCAAACUGGGCUCGAACUUGCAAGCCUACUGCCUUAUCCUCCCACCUCAGCCUUCCCAGUUGCUGGGAUUACAGGUGUGUGCCACCACACCUGGUUUAAUGGCGGCAAUACUUCUCCACUAAAACCAUCUGGGGGUAGGAAUUUAUUUGAAGGAGGCACAUUUUAAUCAUUAAUUUUAUUUCCUUAGUAGUUCUACAGCUAUUCAGAUGAGCUGGCUCAUACAUUUGUGCUUUUUCAAAUAAUUGGCUCAUUCAUCUGAGUUGUAAAACUCAUUCACGUGGGACUGUUUGAGUGCCCCCUUGGUCCCUUCUGGGUGACUGUGGCUCUGUAGAGACAGUUCUGUCGCUCCUGACCCUGGUAACCCAUGUCUUCUCUGUCCGCCUUGCAAGAGGUUUAUCUUCUCAAUGAGCCAACUCUGUUUCAUUGAUUUCCUGCCUUGUCUGUUUUCCGUUUCACAAUUUCUUCUCUCACCUUUCUUAUUUCUUUCUUUUGGCUGUUAGGGUUCACUUUGUUCUUUUUUGUUGACGUUGGAGCUUAGAUUAUUGACUCGACUCGGGCUUCUUCCUCUCUCCAAACACAAGCUUUUAGUGAUUUGAAUUUCCUUCGCUACUCUGCUUUAGCAGUGCCUUGCCCUACAGAUACAUUUUAUAUGUUGUGUUUUCAUUUCACUCAAUUCAAUUUCCUUUGAGACUUCCUCUUUGACUCCUGGAUAAUUUAAAACUAAAUUAGUGGCUGAGGGCAGUGGUGUGUGACUGUAAUUCCAGCUACUCUGGAGAUGGAGGCAAAAGAGUCGAAAGUUCGAGGCCAGCCUGGACAACUCAGCGAGACCUUUCCUCAAAAUAAAUAAAAACUGUAGCUCAGUGGCACACUACUUGCCUAAAAUGUGUGAGUCUGGGGGUUCAACCACCAGUACCGCAAGAGCCAAAAAGAAAAUAGGUUAUAUAGGCCCCAGUGGUUUGAAGAUUUCCCUGUCCUCUUUCCAUUUUCUUUGGCAUCUAGUGUGGUUCCCGUGUGGUCCAAGAACACGUGUGUGUGUGUGUGUGUGUGUGUGUGUGUGAGUUCUGUUAGGUUUGCUGAGGCUCGUCUUUCAGCUCAAGAUGCCAUCCGCGUUGGUCCGUGCUCUGGAUGAUGAGAAGGGGCUGGGCCUGCUGCAGCCAAGUGCAGGGCCCCGGGAAGGCUUCGAGGGUUGUGCAGUAGCAGUGGCACUGAGUUCCACAUCCUGCUUUUCUCUGGCCACAGUGGCUUCAGUCCCUCACAGAGGCCCCAGCUCCUGCUGGACUGUCCCCUCCAUGCUGCCCUUGCCAGCCUCUGGGAAGCCACUGCUGUCGCCACCUCAUGCUGGGACCCUGGUUUCUGUGCCCCCACCCACGGCUCUGUGAGUGGUGUCAGCAGCAACCUCGCCUCCCUGACCCACUGCUCUGUGCCAUCUGUGUCCUGCUGAGGUCUCAUAUGAGGACACCUCCAGGCCAGAUGAGUCCAACGCUCAGGGGGCUGAGGCAGGAGGGUCAGCCUGAGCUACAUGGCAAGUUUGAGAGCAGCCUGCAACAUAGUGAGACGGACAGAAGGAACGAGAGGAAGAAAGGGAGAAAGGAGAGGCGUGACUCCUCAACAUUUGUCAGAGAGAUGUCCACAGAUGGGCCCGGGAGAGGGGUCAGAACCUGAGAGAAAUGGGCUGAGCAGAGGACCUGUCACAGGCCACAGAGGAAGAGGAGGCCACUGUUGGACCUUGUUCCCAGAUUCGAUUAGUGACGAUCCCUUGAAGCACGACACAGUCAUGAGUACUCACUGGAGAACUUUAUUUUCUGGCCGGGACCCAUGUGCACUCCAACCAAGCCGGAGGACAAAAGGCCCCAACUGAAAUGAGGACUGCAUAUUUAAAGGGAAAAACUACAGAAAAAGUCCCUCCUCCCAUUCCCCUGGGUAACGCUGUGUUGCAGAUCACCUGAAGCACAGUUUGCUUGUUUUACCUUGAAGUUAUAUGCAUCGGUUAGGGGUGGGGUUUUCUCCCAGGAGACAGAGUGCAGCUGGAAGUCACAUAUUUGCAAAAUGGAGGACAAUGUUCUCAACAUGGCGCUGGUAUUGCUAAGCUGCUGAGUUGGGUCUCACAGCCACCAAACAGAUGGACCAGAAAGGCUUGGCCAAGUGCUGAGCAGUUCUGCGGGGCCACCUGGUUGUCCGCUACUAUGAGCUGAGGGCCACACAAGGGUCCUUGCACCCACUUGCAAACCCCAAGGCUCCACGGCUGCUGACAAGGAAAACUGUGGACCGUGCUGCAGACAGAGCCCUGUGGCAACAGCUCCUGGAAGCCUGGGGUCGUCCAUGUGAGUCACCGAGGAGGACCUGCUCUUAACCCGGCCUGACCCAGCGUCACCUGACUCCAACUCCCAGUGCGUCCCCAGUCAUGCACACGGCAGACAAGCAAGGUUAUCCCGCAAACCUGCUGGGAUGGCAGUGUGCUCAGCCACAG